GACGAACGCUGGCGGCGUGCUUAACACAUGCAAGUCGAACGGAAAGGCCCCUUUGGGGGUCCUCGAGUGGCGAACGGGUGAGUAACACGUGAGUAACCUGCCCUUGACUUCGGGAUAACUUCAGGAAACUGGGGCUAAUACCGGAUAGGAAUCCUUGCUGCAUGGUGGGGGUUGGAAAGCUUCGGCGGUUUUGGAUGGACUCGCGGCUUAUCAGCUUGUUGGUGGGGUAGUGGCUUACCAAGGCUUUGACGGGUAGCCGGCCUGAGAGGGCGACCGGCCACAUUGGGACUGAGAUACGGCCCAGACUCCUACGGGAGGCAGCAGGGGGGAAUAUUGCACAAUGGGCGGAAGCCUGAUGCAGCAACGCCGCGUGCGGGAUGACGGCCUUCGGGUUGUAAACCGCUUUCAGCAGGGGCGAAGCUUGUGGUGACGGUACCUGCAGAAGAAGCACCGGCUAACUACGUG
rnacentral:rRNA from 1 species